rnacentral:rRNA from 1 species
UACAGAGGGUGCGAGCGUUGUUCGGAAUUAUUGGGCGUAAAGCGCUUGUAGGCGGCACGUCAAGUCGCGUGUGAAAUCCCCAGGCUUAACCUGGGAAGUGCGCGCGAAACUGACGAGCUUGAGUGCCGGAGAGGGUCGCGGAAUUCCCGGUGUAGAGGUGAAAUUCGUAGAUAUCGGGAGGAACACCAGUGGCGAAGGCGGCGACCUGGACUGACACUGACGCUGAGACACGAAAGCGUGGGGAGCAAACAGG